GGUCUAUGCUGAAGAAGGAAAAUGACAGUAAAUAUGGAUGGGGAAAGAGAUGCUUACUGUCUUGGGUCAGGAGGGUAGAGCUGGGAAAGCACCAGUGGAAGGAUAGCCAGGGAUGACUCAAACCUCUGCUUGUUGCAUGAACCAGCCUGUCCACACCGGGCCGCUGAGCCUCCUGGGAAUGCUGUAAACAAGGUGUGAACAGGAUCCAUCUUCAAACAGAUACUUUGUGGUCCGUAUGAGAGGCACUCCGUUGUCAGGGUCAUUGGAUAAAUACUACAGUCCUCUUAAA